ACUCAGUAGAAACACGGAGUACUGUGCAGUAACAUUGUUUCGGUAUGAAAUAGCGUGCGUAUGGCAUAACAAGUAACACAACAGUAGCGCCGACCUUCUUCCAUAUUUUCUUUCGGUGUUAGUGUAAACAAACUUACUUUGUUGCCUGAUUAUUGCAGCGUUUAUAAUUAGGUCCAGAAGUUGCGAUGUAAAGCAGCCGUGUGCAGUUUGUUGGAAUCACAAUUAAUAUUUAGUUGAAUGUAACCUGUUGCAAAAAAGCAAUGUGUAUAUUUCAGUAAUAUUUAGCACAAUAAUAUUAUUUAUGUUAUUUUUAGGAAAUAUCUGUCACCGAUUUAUUUUACAAAAUGAUUUGUAGAAUUAGUUUUUCGAAACGCGAUUAUGUUAUGAGAAAAACUGGCUGAUUGUUGAGAUUCCUGACAACCAAUGAAAUUAUUUGCUACAAAAUGGCGGGUGUUUUUAUUUGAAGAAAAGUGUCGAUAUGUGUUUAUAUAAAAUUCUUGUGUUUAUAAUGUAUUUUAAAGAAGUGCUGACUAUUUGUUUAACUUCUUUUACGAUGAAAGUAAGGUUAAUGUCGAUUUAGCGAAGGAAACGUCUUCUGUUCGUUGAGAUAAGAUUCUGAACAUGACAUCGAACAGGUUUUAGCUAAGCCGAAAAAGAAAACAGAAAACAAGUACAUUCAAAGUGAGGUAAAGUCAGAAGGAAGAAUGAAAUUAAAAGCAUUGAAGUUUCUUAGUAUUAAGACAGCGCUUACCACACCCUGCUAUUGUGGAAAACGGUGUAU